AUUGGUGUCUUAACGGUGGGGGUACACCUCUUCCCAUUCCGAACAGAGUCGUUAAGCCCACUAGUACCGAUGAUACUUGAGUCGCAAGGCUCUGGGAAAGUAGGUAGACGCCAAUA
rfam:Berkelbacteria bacterium GW2011_GWA1_39_10 TT15_C0001, whole genome shotgun sequence.